GUUAGGUUAGGUUGGCUGCUGUGACGGUCGGACGUGUGUGCCUCGUGCUCCGCUCCUUGUGUCUUGACGGAAGAUCUCCCGUCUCCUGGGAUUAUUACAGCCACGGCAGGCUCCCUGUGAUGUUCCCUUGUGUAAUUGUCCAUAAUUAUUAUAAUUAUCAAAACUGUCUUUCUUUAACAACGAUGUCUAGUUAUUCCAUCUCUCGUGCUACGCGGAAUAUUUGCUUUGUAAUUUGUGAAAUAGACGGAUCAUUCGAUUUUUCGGAAGUAUAUCUGAACGAUUAUAAGUGUGGUGCGUCAACGCUGGCUGGAAAAUUUGGAAUUCUACUCUGAGCUCUCAUCUCUUAAACAUGAUCUUCCUGUCUCGAUGGGGAUAUCUUCUGGAAUCUAUGGAAUUUCUUGAUGGACUUAAUAAGUAUGUUAAAGCAAUCUGGAAAAAGUAUUGCCUACAUAUCAGUGGUAUGUCAUUUGCAUAAAUUACUACUUAUUAUUAAUUUAUUUUGUAUCUUUA